rnacentral:tRNA from 1 species
GCCUGGGUGGCUCAGUCGGUUGAGUGCCCGACUUCGGCUCGGGUCAUGAUCUCACGGUCCGUGAGUUCGAGCCCCGCGUCGGGCU